GUCGUCAGCUCGUGUUGGGAAAUGAUGGGUUAAAUCCCGCAACGAGCGCAACCCUUAUCCUUUGUUGCCAGCGGUUCGGCCGGGAACUCAAAGGAGACUGCCAGUGAUAAACUGGAGGAAGGUGGGGAUGACGUCAAGUCAUCAUGGCCCUUACGAGUAGGGCUACACACGUGCUACAAUGGCGUAUACAAAGAGAAGCGACCUCGCGAGAGCAAGCGGACCUCAUAAAGUACGUCGUAGUCCGGAUUGGAGUCUGCAACUCGACUCCAUGAAGUCGAAUCGC
rnacentral:rRNA from 1 species